rnacentral:rRNA from 1 species
UACGUAGGGCGCAAGCGUUAUCCGGAAUUAUUGGGCGUAAAGAGCUCGUAGGCGGUUUGUCGCGUCUGCCGUGAAAGUCCGGGGCUCAACUCCGGAUUUGCGGUGGGUACGGGGCAGACUAGAGUGAUGUAGGGGGAGACUGGAAUUCCUGGUGUAGCGGUGAAAUGCGCAGAUAUCAGGAGGAACACCGAUGGCGAAGGCAGGUCUCUGGGCAUUAACUGACGCUGAGGAGCGAAAAGCAUGGGGAGCGAACAGG